AUUGAACGCUGGCGGCAGGCUUAACACAUGCAAGUCGAGCGGAGAUGAGGUGCUUGCACCUUAUCUUAGCGGCGGACGGGUGAGUAAUGCUUAGGAAUCUGCCUAUUAGUGGGGGACAACAUUCCGAAAGGAAUGCUAAUACCGCAUACGUCCUACGGGAGAAAGCAGGGGAUCUUCGGAACUUGCGCUAAUAGAUGAGCCCAAGUCGGAUUAGCUAGUUGGUGGGGUAAAGGCCUACCAAGGCGACGAUCUGUAGCGGGUCUGAGAGGAUGAUCCGCCAGACUGAGACUGAGACACGUCCCAGACUCCUACGGGAGGCAGCAGUGGGGAAUAUUGGACAAUGGGGGAAACCCUGAUCCAGCCAUGCCGCGUGUGUGAAGAAGGCCUUAUGGUUGUAAAGCACUUUAAGCGAGGAGGAGGCUACUGAGACUAAUACUCUUGGAUAGUGGACGUUACUCGCAGAAUAAGCACCGGCUAACUCUGUGCCAGCCGCCGCGGUAA
rnacentral:rRNA from 1 species